UGCCCCUCAAAAUAAAAAUUCCAUUUAAUUUAUUGCACAACAAGAACGAAAUAACCGCUUUUCACGUUUUCGCACUCGGAUUGCCUACUUUUAGGAAUUAAAUACAAUUUUUCAGCAUCGGAGAAGAAUGGGCGCGACCAAGCCAAAGGGUACCAGCGAUGAGCACACAAGAGAUAUCAAGAUUUAAGACACGUUCGAGCUUGCAUAGCACGCCUAUACCUCGAAACCGACUUUAAUUUGAAGACUAAGUAGUUUAGUGCACAUCUAACCUUCAAUGGUAGCGAAAAUAAAACAUUUUAACAAUCAUGCAAAGUUUACGUGCUCUUUUAAUUAAAAGUGUCUUCGUUAUUAUGGCUGUUUUAAAGUUAGCGGCCGACUUGGAUAUCGUCUCAAUAUUGAAGAGGUCUGCUGACAAAGAAAGCCUGAGGGAUGACAGCUGCGGCUGCGGAAAAGGAAAAUAAUUAAAUGUAUACGAAAUUCUCGAAUGAAUGAAAUAUUUGAUGUGGCUGGAGUAUGGUGAAUAAGUAAAAUAAUGAAUUUAAUAAACUUAUUCCUACAUUUUAAAA